AUUGAACGCUGGCGGCAGGCCUAACACAUGCAAGUCGAACGGUAACAGGGAUCAGCUUGCUGAUUCGCUGACGAGUGGCGGACGGGUGAGUAAUGUCUGGGAAACUGCCUGAUGGAGGGGGAUAACUACUGGAAACGGUAGCUAAUACCGCAUAACGUCGCAAGACCAAAGAGGGGGACCUUCGGGCCUCUUGCCAUCGGAUGUGCCCAGAUGGGAUUAGCUAGUAGGUGGGGUAACGGCUCACCUAGGCGACGAUCCCUAGCUGGUCUGAGAGGAUGACCAGCCACACUGGAACUGAGACACGGUCCAGACUCCUACGGGAGGCAGCAGUGGGGAAUAUUGCACAAUGGGCGCAAGCCUGAUGCAGCCAUGCCGAGUGUAUGAAGAAGGCCUUCGGGUUGUAAAGUACUUUCAGCGGGGAGGAAGGGAGUAAAGUUAAUACCUUUGCUCAUUGACGUUACCCGCAGAAGAAGCACCGGCUAACUCCGUG
rnacentral:rRNA from 1 species